UACAGAGUGCCCGAGCGUUGUUCGGAUUCACUGGGCGUAAAGGGUGCGUAGGUGGUUAGGUAAGUCCGAUGUGAAAUCUCCAAGGCUCAACCCUGGGAAAUGGCCAUUGGAUACUUAUUUAAGCUUGAGGAGUGGAGGGGGGACUUGGAAUUCUCGGGUGUAAGCAGUGAAAUGCGUAGAUAAUCGAGAGGAACACCAGUGGCGAAGGCGACUUCCUGGCCUGUUCUUGACGCUGAGGCGCGAAAGCUGGGGGAGCAAAACGGGAUUGAGAAACCCCAGUAGG
rnacentral:rRNA from 1 species